rnacentral:rRNA from 1 species
AGUUUGAUCCUGGCUCAAGAUGAACGCUGGCGGCGUGCUUAACACAUGCAAGUCAAACGAAGCACUUUAUUUGAUUUCCUUCGGGACUGAUUAUUUUGUGACUGAGUGGCGGACGGGUGAGUAACGCGUGGGUAACCUGCCUUGUACAGGGGGAUAACAGUUGGAAACGGCUGCUAAUACCGCAUAAGCGCACAACAUCGCAUGAUGCAGUGUGAAAAACUCCGGUGGUAUAAGAUGGACCCGCGUUGGAUUACCUAGUUGGUGAGGUAACGGCCCACCAAGGCGACGAUCCAUAGCCGACCUGAGAGGGUGACCGGCCACAUUGGGACUGAGACACGGCCCAAACUCCUACGGGAGGCAGCAGUGGGGAAUAUUGCACAAUGGGCGAAAGCCUGAUGCAGCGACGCCGCGUGAGCGAAGAAGUAUUUCGGUAUGUAAAGCUCUAUCAGCAGGGAAGAUAAUGACGGUACCUGACUAAGAAGCACCGGCUAAAUACGUGCCAGCAGCCGCGGUAAUACGUAUGGUGCAAGCGUUAUCCGGAUUUACUGGGUGUAAAGGGAGCGCAGGCGGUGCGGCAAGUCUGAUGUGAAAGCCCGGGGCUCAACCCCGGUACUGCAUUGGAAACUGUCGUACUAGAGUGUCGGAGGGGUAAGCGGAAUUCCUAGUGUAGCGGUGAAAUGCGUAGAUAUUAGGAGGAACACCAGUGGCGAAGGCGGCUUACUGGACGAUAACUGACGCUGAGGCUCGAAAGCGUGGGGAGCAAACAAGAUUAGAUACCCUGGUAGUCCACGCCGUAAACGAUAAAAAAGGGUGUGGGAAGCAUUGCUUCUCGGGCCGUCGCAAACGCAGUAAGUAUUUCCCCUGCGGAGUACGUUUGCAAGAAGGAAACUCAAAGGAAUUGACGGGGACCCGCACAAGCGGUGGAGCAUGUGGUUUAAUUUGAAGCAACGCGAAGAACCUUACCAAGUCUUGACAUCCUUCUGACCGGUACUUAACCGUACCUUCUUUUUGGAGCAGGAGUGACAGGAGGUGCAUGGUUGUCGUCAGCUCGUGUCGUGAGAUGUUGGGUGAAGUCCCGCAACGAGCGCAACCCUUAUCUUUAGUAGCCAGCGGUUCGGCCGGGCACUCUAGAGAGACUGCCAGGGAUAACAUGGAGGAAGGCGGGGAGGACGUCAAAUCAUCAUGCCCCCUAUGACUUGGGCUACACACGUGCUACAAUGGCGUAAACAAAGGGAAGCGAAGCUGUGAAGCCGAGCAAAUAUCAAAAAUAACGUCUCAGUUCGGACGGUAGUCUGCAACCCGACUACACGAAGCGGGAAUCGCUAGUAAUCGCAGAUCAGAAUGAUGCGGUGAAUA